rnacentral:rRNA from 1 species
UACGAAGGGGGCUAACGUUGUUCGGAAUUACUGGGCGUAAAGCGCACGUAGGCGGGUUGUUAAGUCAGGGGUGAAAUCCUGGAGCUCAACUCCAGAACUGCCUUUGAUACUGGCAACCUAGAGACUGGAAGAGGUUAGUGGAAUUCCCAGUGUAGAGGUGAAAUUCGUAGAUAUUGGGAAGAACACCAGUGGCGAAGGCGGCUAACUGGUCCAGCACUGACGCUGAGGUGCGAAAGCGUGGGGAGCAAACAGG